rnacentral:rRNA from 1 species
CAGUCGCCGCGGUAAUACGUAGGGUGCGAGCGUUGUCCGGAAUUACUGGGCGUAAAGAGCUCGUAGGUGGUUUGUCGCGUCGUUUGUGUAAGUCCACAGCUUAACUGUGGGACUGCAGGCGAUACGGGCAUAACUUGAGUGCUGUAGGGGAGACUGGAAUUCCUGGUGUAGCGGUGAAAUGCGCAGAUAUCAGGAGGAACACCGAUGGCGAAGGCAGGUCUCUGGGCAGUAACUGACGCUGAGGAGUGAAAGCAUGGGUAGCGAACAGGAUUAGAUACCCCGGUAGUCCCUGUCUCUUAUA